UACGUAGGUGGCGAGCGUUGUCCGGAUUUACUGGGCGUAAAGGGAGCGUAGGCGGACUUUUAAGUGAGAUGUGAAAUACCCGGGCUCAACUUGGGUGCUGCAUUUCAAACUGGAAGUCUAGAGUGCAGGAGAGGAGAAUGGAAUUCCUAGUGUAGCGGUGAAAUGCGUAGAGAUUAGGAAGAACACCAGUGGCGAAGGCGAUUCUCUGGACUGUAACUGACGCUGAGGCACGAAAGCGUGGGGAUCAAACAGGAUUAGAUACCCCGGUAGU
rnacentral:rRNA from 1 species